UGCAAUCACUACUGUAAGUCGCUCUGGAUAAGGGCGUCUGCUAAAUGACUAAAA
rfam:Salmo salar isolate Sally breed double haploid chromosome ssa21, whole genome shotgun sequence.